AUUGAACGCUGGCGGCAUGCUUUACACAUGCAAGUCGGACGGCAGCACAGAGAAGCUUGCUUCUUGGGUGGCGAGUGGCGAACGGGUGAGUAACAUAUCGGAACGUACCGAGCAGUGGGGGAUAACUAAUCGAAAGAUUAGCUAAUACCGCAUAUUUUCUGAGGAAGAAAGCAGGGGACCUUUGGGCCUUGCGCUGUUUGAGCGGCCGAUAUCUGAUUAGCUAGUUGGUGGGGUAAAGGCCUACCAAGGCGACGAUCAGUAGCGGGUCUGAGAGGAUGAUCCGCCACACUGGGACUGAGACACGGCCCAGACUCCUACGGGAGGCAGCAGUGGGGAAUUUUGGACAAUGGGCGCGAGCCUGAUCCAGCCAUGCCGCGUGUCUGAAGAAGGCCUUCGGGUUGUAAAGGACUUUUGUCAGGGAAGAAAAGGGCGGGGUUAAUACCCCUGUCUGAUGACGGUACCUGAAGAAUAAGCACCGGCUAACUACGUG
rnacentral:rRNA from 1 species